UAAAAAACAAAACAACAAGACGAAGCCAAAAGAAGGCYAGGAGCACUGCAGACCCUUUGCAGUGAUUUGAUUUUGCCCUAAAACGCUGAGGAAUCUUGCAAGGCAGAAUGGUUAACUCAGAGGUGACCUAAAGUUCAGCUCAAGAGACUGGUGCAGUGCUGACGUCUGGAGGACCGUUAAAUUCUUAGGAUGUAAGAUCUCGGAAGUGCACACGUGCUUGCCUGUGAUGUAAGCUCACAGGGUUCCAGUUCUUCCUGGAAAUCCACUGUUACCUUUUUGUUGUGGUUAAGGGAGAGAAAAAGAAAAAAGAAA